rnacentral:rRNA from 1 species
UGCAUAGCCGACCUGAGAGGGUGAUCGGCCACACUGGAACUGAGACACGGUCCAGACUCCUACGGGAGGCAGCAGUAGGGAAUCUUCCGCAAUGGGCGAAAGCCUGACGGAGCAACGCCGCGUGAGUGAUGAAGGUCUUCGGAUCGUAAAACUCUGUUAUUAGGGAAGAACAUAUGUGUAAGUAACUGUGCACAUCUUGACGGUACCUAAUCAGAAAGCCACGGCUAACUACGUGCCAGCAGCCGCGGUAAUACGUAGGUGGCAAGCGUUAUCCGGAAUUAUUGGGCGUAAAGCGCGCGUAGGCGGUUUUUUAAGUCUGAUGUGAAAGCCCACGGCUCAACCGUGGAGGGUCAUUGGAAACUGGAAAACUU